GAAAGCAUUUUCUUAGUGACUGAUGUAAGA
rnacentral:piRNA from 1 species